rnacentral:rRNA from 1 species
AGUGAACGCUGGCGGCGUGCUUAACACAUGCAAGUCGAACGAGAACGGAAUAUAGCUUGCUAUAUUUGUCAGCUAAGUGGCGCACGGGUGAGUAAUGUAUAGAUAACCUGCCCUUAAGAAAGGAAUAACAGUUGGAAACGACUGCUAAUGCCCUAUAUGCCUUUAAUACAUAAGUAUGCAAGGGAAACGCUUUAGUGCUUAAGGAUGGGUCUGUAUGGUAUCAGCUUGUUGGUGAGGUAAUGGCUCACCAAGGCUAUGACGCCUAACUGGUUUGAGAGGAUGAUCAGUCACACUGGAACUGAGACACGGUCCAGACCCCUACGGGAGGCAGUAGUGGGGAAUAUUGCACAAUGGACGAAAGUCUGAUGCAGCAACGCCGCGUGGAGGAUGACACAUUUCGGUGCGUAAACUCCUUUUAUAUAGGAAGAUAAUGACGGUACUAUAUGAAUAAGCACCGGCUAACUCCGUGCCAGCCGCCGCAGUAA